AGAGAAGAGCUUUAUGUUGGUUUUAUGGAUUUCUUUUUUCGGCGGCAAAGUUUUGGGUCUCGGUAGUAGAAGAGUGUUUUGUGUUGCUUUCUGUGGUAUUUGACUUCUUUGGAGGGGUGAGUUUUGUUUUGGUGUGGGUGGUAGAGGUGAGUUUUGAGUUGCUUUCUGUGGUAUUUGACUUCUUUGGAGGGGCAAGUUUUGUUUUGGUGUGGGUGAUAGAGGUGAGUUUUGAGUUGCUUUCUGUGGUAUUUGACUUCUUUGGAGGGGCAAGUUUUGUUUUGGUGUGGGUGAUAGAGGUGAGUUUUGAGUUGCUUUCUGUGGUAUUUGACUUCUUUGGAGGGGCAAGUUUUGUUUUGGUGUGGGUGGUAGAGGUGAGUUUUGAGUUGCUUUCUGUGGUAUUUGACUUCUUUGGAGGGGCAAGUUUUGUUUUGGUGUGGGUGGUAGAGGUGAGUUUUGUGUUGCUUUCUGUGGUAUUUGACUUCUUUGGAGGGGCAAGUUUUGUUUUUGGUGUGGGUGGUAGAGGUGAGUUUUGUGUUGCUUUCUGUGGUAUUUGACUUCUUUGGAGGGGCAAGUUUUGUUUUGGUGUGGGUGGUAGAGGUGAGUUUUGUGUUGCUUUCUGUGGUAUUUGACUUCUUUGGAGGGGCAAGUUUUGUUUUGGUGUGGGUGAUAGAGGUGAGUUUUGAGUUACUUUCUGUGGUAUUUGCCUCCUUUUGGGUGAGUUUCUGUGUCUACUCUACAGCUCUACAGGAGAUUCGCACCAAAGCCAUGUGUAGGUAGAGCGUAUGUCCCCCAAAUUUACCCUUUCUUUAUCUCCCAAGUCUUCACACGCCCC